rnacentral:rRNA from 1 species
UACGAAGGGGGCUAGCGUUGCUCGGAUUGACUGGGCGUAAAGGGCGCGUAGGCGGGUAGGUAAGUCCGUGGUGAAAUCUCUGAGCUUAACUCAGAAACUGCCGUGGAUACUAUUUGCCUUGAAUAUUGUGGAGGUGAGCGGAAUAUGUCAUGUAGCGGUGAAAUGCUUAGAUAUGACAUAGAACACCAAUUGCGAAGGCAGCUCACUACACAAUGAUUGACGCUGAGGCACGAAAGCGUGGGGAUCAAACAGG